GAUGAACGCUGGCGGCGUGCCUAAUACAUGCAAGUCGAGCGAACAGACGAGGAGCUUGCUCCUCUGACGUUAGCGGCGGACGGGUGAGUAACACGUGGAUAACCUACCUAUAAGACUGGGAUAACUUCGGGAAACCGGAGCUAAUACCGGAUAAUAUAUUGAACCGCAUGGUUCAAUAGUGAAAGACGGUUUUGCUGUCACUUAUAGCUGGGUCGGCGCCGCAUUAGCUAGUUGGUAAGGUAACGGCUUACCAAGGCGACGAUCAGUAGCCGACCUGAGAGGAUGACCAGCGACACUGGGACGGAGACACGGCCGAGACUCGUACGGGAGGCAGCAGUGGGGAAUAUUGCGCAAUGGGCGAAAGCAUGACGCAGCCAUGCUGCGUGAAUGAUGAAGGUAGUAGGAUAGUAAAAUUCUUUAACCGGGGACGAUAAUGACGGUACCCGGAGAAGAAGCCCCGGCUAACUUCGUG
rnacentral:rRNA from 1 species